rnacentral:rRNA from 1 species
CGAAAGCCUGACGGAGCAAUGCCGCGUGGAGGUAGAAGGCCCACGGGUCGUAAACUCCUUUUCUCAGAGAAGAAGCAAUGACGG